rnacentral:rRNA from 1 species
CGCGCAGGCGGCCAAGUAAGUCGAAUGUGAAAGCCCCCGGCUCAACUGGGGAAGGUCAUUCGAUACUGCCUGGCUUGAAGAUAGGAGAGGGAAGCGGAAUUUCCGGUGUAGUGGUGAAAUGCGUAGAUAUCGGAAGGAACACCAGUGGCGAAGGCGGCUUUCUGGCCUAUUCUUGACGCUGAGGCGCGAAAGCUAGGGGAGCGAACG